UCCGGUGGCGAUGCGCUUAGGGGAAACACCCGUUCCCAUCCCGAACACGAUGGUUAAGACUUAAGCGGCCGAUGAUACUAUGCUGGAGACGGCAUGGGAAAGCAGGUGGCUGCCGGAA
rnacentral:rRNA from 1 species